GACGAACGCUGGCGGCGUGCUUAACACAUGCAAGUCGAACGAAGAGCGAUGGAAGCUUGCUUCUAUCAAUCUUAGUGGCGAACGGGUGAGUAACGCGUAAUCAACCUGCCCUUCAGAGGGGGACAACAGCUGGAAACGACUGCUAAUACCGCAUACGAUCUAACCUCGGCAUCGAGGAUAGAUGAAAGGUGGCCUCUACAUGUAAGCUAUCACUGAAGGAGGGGAUUGCGUCUGAUUAGCUAGUUGGGGGGGUAACGGCCCACCAAGGCGAUGAUCAGUAGCCGGUCGGAGAGGAUGAACGGCCACAUUGGGACUGAGACACGGCCCAGACUCCUACGGGAGGCAGCAGUGGGGAAUCUUCCGCAAUGGACGAAAGUCUGACGGAGCAACGCCGCGUGAGUGAUGACGGCCUUCGGGUUGUAAAGCUCUGUUAAUCGGGACGAAAGGCCUUCUUGCGAAUAGUUAGAAGGAUUGACGGUACCGGAAUAGAAAGCCACGGCUAACUACGUG
rnacentral:rRNA from 1 species